rnacentral:SRP_RNA from 1 species
UCGUGCUAGGCGGGGAGCUGGCGGUGCCCUGUACCCGCAAUCCGCCAUAGCGGGGCCGAAUUCCCCCCCGAGGGGCCAUGCUCGGCGUGUCUGCCCGGCUAAGCGGCGUUGAUGGCUGGGUCCCGCGCGGCGAGCAGCCACGAACCGGGUCAGGUCCGGGAGGAAGCAGCCCUAAGUGGUGUCGCUCGGGCGACGCGGGGGCGCCUGGCCGGAGCUGGCUGGCCGGGUAAGGCGCCGAGGGUGGUCUCGACGGGGGGUGCACGA